rnacentral:rRNA from 1 species
GAUGAACGCUGACAGAAUGCUUAACACAUGCAAGUCUUUGGCGAAGCUGUGCUCGCACAGCCUAGCCAAGGCGGACGGGUGAGUAACGCGUAAGGAACUUGCCCUGCAGUCAGGGAUAACAGACGGAAACGACUGAUAAGACCUGGUAAAGUCAGGCGGACUCAUGUCCAGCCUGAUGAAAAGAGAUGCUGCAGGAGAGCCUUGCGUCCUAUUAGCUUGUUGGUGGGGUAACGGCCCACCAAGGCGAUGAUAGGUAGCCGGCCUGAGAGGGUGGACGGCCACAAGGGGACUGAGAUACGGCCCUUACUCCUACGGGAGGAGGCAGUGGGGAAUAUUGGACAAUGGGGGCAACCCUGAUCCAGCAAUUCUGUGUGCACGAUGAAGGUUUUCGGAUUGUAAAGUGCUUUCAGCAGGGAAGAAAAAAAUGACGGUACCUGCAGAAGAAGCGACGGCUAAAUACGUG